rnacentral:lncRNA from 1 species
AAACAAGUGUACUGUAGGCAAGAAUAAUGUUGCAAAAUAUCUCAGAAGGAAAACAAGAGCCCUUAUCAAAAAAUACUAUUCAUUAAUAAUUCCUUUUUAAUGGCUAAAAAGAAUACAAGUGCUUGUCUGUAGAGAGGAAUUGUCUUCAUUAGGAAGGCAAUUUAAUUAGAGCAACUACUUAUGACUUAACAGAAUAUUUUACCAAACAUGCACUACUUAAAAACAUGUUUAUAUGAGUUCUAAAAUAAUAACUAGGAGAAGUUUACUGGAGAAACUGUACAUAGACAAAUCUAUAACUGCAUGUUGCAAAGACUCAUGAAUUUAAAAGUCAGCAAGGCAGGAAUUAACUUCAAGUGCAAGGUCAACUUAUUUGCUAGUUAGAACAGGGUUAUCGGACAAGCUAGAAGUGCUGGGGAUUUUGAUGUGAAACAGGUUAAAAUGGAGAUUUUCACAACUGAUAAAUAAUUAUCAUCAAUUAGCAUUUGGUAAGCAGGUGCCCUUACCAUAUAAAAGGAGGUGGUGGAUAGAUAGUGCUUUUCCUGCUGUGUGGCUUAUAGGAUGGUGAAGAGUUUUUGUUUAGAGAGAAGCCUUCUGAAAUUACAGAGAAAGAUCUGUCUGAUGUACCUGUCUGCUAGCUGGCGUAACCAGACCAGUUUGAGGCUCUGGAGGAGGAACUGGUUGGCGGUCCAGGUGGCCAGUGAUGGGAGACUGCAUGCAGAAGAUAAGGGUCUUGCCCUGAAUGGUUGUUACUAAAUGAAGGAUGAUAGAGUGGAGAACAGAGAAGGAGUAACACAGCAUGUCAUUCGGUGAAGAAGACCCUUCAAAGCUUUUGGAAGUAAAGCAAUUUUGAAUUGAAAAAAAAUUGAAAAUUUUGAACUCUUGGCAAAGUGGAAAGCCAAUGUGUGUGACGUGAUGGCUGUGUUGUGUAGGAGGAAGAAGGUAAGGCUUAAAUCCUUUAGGAAAUUUUCUCUGGGGCACCCAUUGCAGGUGAAAUUUUCUCAGCCACCUGCUUUAAUACCUGCUGUAAACUGCACUUCUUGCUAAAUAGCCUUUUCUGUCCCAGGGGUCUACCUGGUUACAUAGCAUGUUUAACCUUUCCAAGGUGAAACACAGAAAGCAGGGUGGGAAGUGUGAUCUCACAACCAAGACAGUAAAGAUUGAUCCAGCACUGAGGAUGUGCUGCCCCAGCGUAUGUAAGAAAGCAUCUAAAAAACCUGAAAUCUUUCUGUAGUGUUUUUAGAAGUUUCCCAUAUUGAUCCCUCCUGUUUAGCAGCAGGGACCUAUGCAGCAUAUCAGCUCUGUGGGAAGCCACAAUCAAUAGCUCAGUGCAAUGGCCUGACAGUUAUUUACUCAUCAGCUCAUUAGGGUGGGGAGAGUAGAUUACAAUUCUCAUAAUUUCACUAUUGACUGGCAUGCUGCACUUGGGUUAUGUUUUAACUACCUAAUAAUGAAUGUGCCUGAAGGAGGGGGGAAAAUCUUUUGUAAUGAGAGAUUCUUGUAAAAGCAAAGAAUCAUUUGUGGUAAGACAAAGAAACUUCAACCAUGAUAAAGUGAAAAUAAGAGAAAGGAAGAGUGGUGGCAGCUCAGCCUUUUGGUAAAAUGAAGUUCCUGCUUUGCAUUAAUGAGGACAGGUCCAGCGAUGGCUGGCUGUGUAAGCUGGAGUCCCCUGCAGUGAUCAGUUCUUAUCCAGUGCUGUUGACUGAAGUGAUAAGAAGCAAAUUUAGUCUAAAGUCAAUGUCGGUGUGGCACUGACUAGCAGACAAUUAGGAGGACUUGCCCUGGAAGGACUCCAGCAUGGCAAAGGGACUUUAGGGAGCCUUACUAAACAAAUGUGUUGCUUUCAGUCCAUGAUCACUAUUACAAGCUGCUGGUGCCUGCAAAGAGGGAACAAAGACCACUCUUGCUUCUCAGGACUGUCCACAUUAAUGAUCUAUAAAGCUGAUCCAUCUGUUUACCUUCCCAGCACUCUUGUGACAUAGGACAUAUAAGCGAGGACUGUAUCCAGUUAGAAACCAUGGGAUCUGGGCACACAUUUACAUACUCAAUGGAACAGAAGCCUCAACGCUCUGAUGAACCACUUUGAGCAGACCUAUAAACCAAGGCUGUAGUUUUCUUGAUUGCUUGCCAAGUUGCUGCUUUUUCAAUUGCCUAUAGGGAGUGUUUUUUAUCAUUUUGUACCUUUAUGACAUAAGACAUUAAUAUUUAAGACUGACUCUCCUUGAUUUGAUAUGAUCUUGCAUUUUUAAAUUUGCUUUCUAUAUAAUUCUUCUGUGGAUGAGCAAGUAUAUUAUCUUCUGUGGAGUGACUGGAAUGUUGGAUCCAGGCACUUCUAAAUCUUCUGUGAAGCAAAGCACUCCAAGAAGCUAAAAACUAAUUUAUGAGAGCUAUUCAGAAAAGGAAAAAUGUCAAGAGAAGUGUUCAGCCUUUACAUUGAUUUUUCUUGUGACUGCCUGCAUUCUGAACUUGUGCUUAUAUUCAUUGCCUGAAAAACUGUCUCCUUUGCAACUCUCCUACAAGGAUGCAUUUUCUAUUUCUGAUUAUAAACUAGUAAGAUAUUUUUUUCUUCUGUUUUUCAUUGCCAGGAAAGAAAAAAUACUGUUGUAAGAAAUAAAUGGUACUAAGGGCUUUUUGUAAAGGUAUUA